UUUCUAAGUGAAAACCUGUCAGCACUUCAUCUGCGUCGACUGUCAAUCCUUUACAAUGUAGAUGAGAUUCGCGAAUUGGUAACACAUCUUGAACUACCAUACGCCGAAUGGAAUGACCUCUUCAUCGUAGAACCUGAACCACAACUACUGAAAUUCAAAGCAUUAUGUCUCUGUCACGAGCAAGCAACACUGACUUUCAGAAAAAUUAAAAAAGCCGUAGAGGAAGGAAAGAUACAAAAUCCGCAUACCUUAUGCAAGGUUAUGAGAGGCGCAUUUGUGGACUUUGAUACUGAUCCAGAGAAAUGGGAUCUGGUUCCUUCGGAUGAAGACAUUGAUAGAAUGGCACCUUUGAUUGGAAACAAAUCCUUAUUUUUUCUGGUUGAACUUGGAAUGGACCUCGAGACAUGGGAAACCAUCAAUCACAGGCAAACGAAACGAGAUUUAGUGAAACUAAACAAGGGUAUUAUAGAUGAAUGGAUGCUUAUUUGUAAAGCAAAGAAUGUUAGACCCACUAUGCGGAAGAUUGCUCAAGCGUACAAAAGUAUUGGAAAAGACAUUCGAGUUCUUGAAAAUACUCUGUUCAACUGACCAGACACACUCUUCUUGCUCUCUGGUGUACCUGAUGUUGUUUAAUGUAUAUAUGUUUAACAGUAAUAUUGAGUUCACAAAGACGUUAAUUGUUUUUGGAAAGAUCUGUAAGAAAUCUGAAAUUAAGAAAGAUAAUAAAAUUAAUUAAUAAAUGGAGUAAAAUGCCAAACAGUUUGAAAAAGAUUGGCUAUGAAGAUCUAGCCCACAUUGACUAGUAAUGUCAACAACAUUGCUGCAUAUUGAUAGAAGAAACCUUAAUAAGUUCCUUUGACUUGUUCUAUGGUUUUACUCAACUGAUAUUUUGCAUAUCAUACAAAUGAAAUACUAUACUUCUUAAAUAAACAAAACUUUUCCCCUAAAUGAACCUUAUCUUUUACGCUAAAACCCAAAAGUUUGAAAAGUAAAAAACUCGUUAAAUGUUUAAUCCAAAAGACCUCAAUAUAUAGUCAAAAUAGAUAGGUAACAUGUAAACAUGUAAACAUUAAAAACAUGGAAUACUAUUCAAUAUGUGUAAGAUCUUAAUAGCCACUUCUUUUGCAUUUAACUCCAUUUAUUAAUUCAUGUAUUAUGGUCCGCUGUUCAGUACCCGAGAAAUGUAGUGCAACAAUUUGUUGACACCAGACACCGGUCGUUUUUGUUUUCAUUGGUGUCGCUUCACAAAUGAUAUCAAUAAAUUCUUUAGAACCUGUAAAACAUCGGACACAGUAUUGGCAAUGUACUGUUGGGCUGUAACUUGCUCCUGUCGGAUACCAAACAUUUAGUUUGAUGUAGAUAUAAAACUUCUUGUCAUGAUUAAAUGAAAACGACAAAGACUAUUUAUGUACUGUAUAGUAGGGCUACAUGAGUUGACAAUAGAUACGAUAAUUGGUAUGAUUAUAUCCUUUAUAGUAUCCUUGGGACAUCACACAAAACUGAGUAAAAUCAAAAUUUCUAAGUAUUGAAAACAUGAUGCAGUUUUUUUGUUUUGUGUUUGAUUAUUUUUCAUUUACUACAUAAUACAUGUAAUAUGACUUUUUUUUAUUACCUAUAUUGAUCUUGUAUAUACGUAUGUUUUUAUUGCAAAGUUUUUAUUUCAGAUAUAUAUUUAUAUUUUAUUGAUAUGAUUUUUUUCAUGGUCGGACAUACCGUAAAUUCUACGUAUUCGACAUUCUAGAGCAAUUUUCUGAAAAGGAUUCAAGAUGAAAUGAACUAGACGGUGAUAUCAACUCACCUCGAUUUCGCUCGAGAUAAAAUAAUAUAAUAUAAAUACUCAACCCCUGGUUAAAGAAAACAAAUCUACGGCUGCCAUGAAUUAUUUCUUUAUUCAUCUAUGAUAACAGAGUCAUAAGUAUAUGCUGUAUUUCGACUUUGAAUUGUUAUUUUAUAGAUACGAGAACCAGUCGUUUGAAUAAGCUUUUGAAAUUCACCAGUAAUGAGGUAAAAUUAAAGAAUUUUGCAAAUGACCUAUCGUCAUCCAAUCCUCUUUAUGAAUGGCAAACAUGCACUUGAAAUAACAAAUGGCUGUGAGUUGCUUAUAAUGUUUUGCUUAUCAUCUGGUAUCAUCUCAAUGAUUAAAUGGAAUACGUAUUUUGAUUGCGUUAGGUAAUUGCGUUAGCUAUCAUCAGAACAAAAAUCAAGGUGUAUUGAUAAUUUGUGCACAUUAAACACAGUAGAAACGUUGCGCUUUUGCAAGUAGCAACAUACUAAUUGUCAGGUUUCAAACCCAUUUGUUAAAUAUGUAGGUAGUUUAUGGACAAACGUGUCGUGGUUAAGCUUAGAAAAAUAUAUCUUCAGAUUGAAAUAUAUGUGUACACAUGAUUUAUGAUUAGAAGGGAGGCGAAAGAUACCAAAGGGACAUACAAACUUAUAAGUCGAAUAUCAACUGACAACACCAUGGCUAAAAAGGAAAAAGACAAACAAACACACAACAUUACAAAAAACACAACAUAAAACUGAUCCUGCUCCACA